AUCUGAAUAGUUUAAAUAAAAUAUUGGUUUGUGGUGCCGAUGAUAUAAUUUUUUUAUUUUGGAUU
rnacentral:tRNA from 1 species